UUUUUUUUGUGUGCUUACACAUAGAAAAAUAUGAUUGUGUUUGUGAAUUCUAGAGACAAACUUCUUGUGAAGAAAAAUAAUAUGUUAGGGUCCAAGGGAAUUUUGGUUGGGUUGCAUGAAGGUCGUUGAGAAUGAAACUUUGGAGUUUCUAGCUCCUUCAUUAGUUCAAAGUCUCGGACAAGGGAAUUUUCAUAGGAUUGCAUGGAAAUCGCUGCAGAUAAAUUCUUUAAGUGUUUUGGUUCUCAAAAGGUGGUUCGCUCAAGAUUGAGGAAACAUCUUGAAGGAUUUGUAGUUUAGUAUGUUAAUUACAAUAGAAGGAACGUUAAGAUUCAAAUAUGUAUUUGUUAGUAGUUGACUUUAAGUUUUCAGUUUAUUAAUGAUUAUAUGGUGUGUUAAAAGACACUUGUAAUUAUUUCAAAUUAGUGGAAGACCAAUAAAUUUUUAAUGGUUCACCAUUGGAUACUAGACUAAGUGCAAGCGAGGAUGCUGCUCACAAUCUUUAUAAAUACUGGUGUACAAUUCUCUCUAUCAUUCUCUUCUAAUUUAUGUACAAUUUUCAUAUUCUAGCAUUGUAUAACUUUAUGGCUUUAUCACUUUCUAGAAUUAUACGUUGUUUGGUCUAUUGUUCAUAAUUUUGUAAUGUUUAAGCUUAUGUCUGUGUUAAAUCUUGUUUGCUAAACACUGUCUUUGUCUUUGGCGAUUAUAUUUGUACAAACAUGUAAUAUUAGAUUCUUUAUUCAAUUAGUAAAUAUUUAUUUAAACAUCUCGUUGCAAAUUUUAUUUUAUUAAGCACCUGACUUUUUUAUCGGUUCUACAUAAAACCUCCAAUGACAGCUCCAACAAAUUUAUUAAAUUUGUAGUUUAGUUCAAGUGAUUCACUAUUUUUAUAGGUAAAUUUUAUUGUUUGGACAAAGUAAUUGAAAUUUCUUUCUUCAAUGAACAAUUUAUUCAUUUUUAAAGUAAUUAAUUCAAAUUUUUUCUCAUUUUCAUUAAUUUUCUUACUCAAAUUUUAUUAUUUUUAUAUAUAUAUUAUUUUAUUUACCGUUUAUCGAAGCUAAUGUACUUGAAAGUUAUCCUUAGUUCUCAGUUUGGUUGAAUUCAUUCAAUGUUUUUUUUAAAUUGAAGAAAUUGAUUAAAAGUCAACCAUGUAUAAGAUGAAUCACAAAUUAGAAGAAUUGAAACAAUAUAUUAUAUAAGCUUGAUUCGAGUCACAAUUUUGUCUGANCUCCAAUGACAGCUCCAACAAAUUUAUUAAAUUUGUAGUUUAGUUCAAGUGAUUCACUAUUUUUAUAGGUAAAUUUUAUUGUUUGGACAAAGUAAUUGAAAUUUCUUUCUUCAAUGAACAAUUUAUUCAUUUUUAAAGUAAUUAAUUCAAAUUUUUUCUCAUUUUCAUUAAUUUUCUUACUCAAAUUUUAUUAUAUAUAUAUAUAUAUUAUUUUAUUUACCGUUUAUCGAAGCUAAUGUACUUGAAAGUUAUCCUUAGUUCUCAGUUUGGUUGAAUUCAUUCAAUGUUUUUUUUAAAUUGAAGAAAUUGAUUAAAAGUUAACCAUGUAUAAGAUGAAUCACAAAUUAGAAGAAUUGAAAAAAUAUAUUAUAUAAGCUUGAUUCGAGUCACAAUUUUAUCUGACUCAAGUCAUGAGUAAAUAGGAAAUCAGUAAUUUGGCGUUAAAUGACUUGAUUUGAUUCAAGGUUUUUCAUGACUUGAAUCAUAGGCAUCUUGACUUGAGUCAUAGUUAUGUUUAACUCAAAUCAUAAAUGUAUUCAAUCUUGACUUGAUUCAUACUUCCACCUAACUUGAAUCAGAAAUGUCAAAUCUUGAUUUUAUCAUUUCGAUUUUAGUAACUUUUUUAUUUUGGGGACCUGACUCGAAUCAUCUUGCUGAUUUUUUUACUACCUAUUUUGUACCUUAACUCUAACACAAAUAAAAAUCAAAAAAAAUUCUCUCUGGUGUGAGCUUUAGAUUAAUUCAAUUUUGAAAACAAAAACAUGCAUCUUUUAAAAAUAUUUUUUUGCGUUCGCUCACAAUCUUAAAAAACCUAAAAAAAAAAGUUUCGUAAUCACAGAAACUUUCUUUCAAAUCAACUUUGAAGAAAUACUUAUUAAUCGAGUUAAUUUUUUGAGCGCAAACAAGUUGUGUGUGAGAAUCAUUCGGAAAGCUUCAUCUUCAACAUUUAACCAAAAAUCCAUUAUUGUGGUUGCUCAAAUUUAAAAGUGAGAGUUUCAGUCAUAGCUGGUGUUGAAACAUACUCAAUUUUUGUUUUGAAACUAACAAACUAUUUUAGAUUCUUGAAAAAAUUCCUAAAAACUCUAUUGGACAUUAAAACGCAAACGUACAAGUAAGUUCAUUAAUCAUCAAAGCUUAGAAAAUUCUUUCAUAAUAAUUUACAUCUAAAAAAGAGCACAACCAACUUGGGGAUUUAAAAGACCUUCCGAGGACAAAACUCACUACAACACUAAAAGACAAAUAGAAAAUCUUGCCAGCCCCAUGUGAUAUAAAAUACAAUAGGAACAAUCUUCAGAUAUUAUACAGCAACAAGUUCCCAAGUAUAUCCUCAUGACAUCUGAGGAGUCACACUCUUCCUUUGACUUUUUCAUAAAUAUUAACAAUUGUCAAGGACAGUUUUGGUAAAAAUAUUUCAACGAUUUCAUUUCGUUUUAUAAAAGGAAGCAUCCCAGUUACUGUAAAACACAUCUUUCCAAAAUGAAUAUAUCACUAGAGAGCUCAUCAUAUUUAGUGUGUUAGUAUUUAUUUCAUAUCCUUACACCCACAUAAUUAGAAUGUAAAGUUGUUGUAAACACCUUAAAUAUCAAAGUAUAUCAUCACUAGAUAUACAUAUAAAAAAUACUCCUGUAUGCUUAUGAGAAGCUUUGUCAUUCAAAAGUGUAAGUCUAGUGAGGCUAAGAAUACAUAGACCAACACAUAUUGUAAGAAGAACCAAGUAAGGGAAAAUAUCACGAGGUGUGAGGACUGGACUAACCAAGUUGGUGAACCAGGAGAAGUUCUUGAGUUUGAUUUAUUUUUAAUCCUUGCUUUAUCUUACCUUCAUACUAUUAAUCACCUCCUAACACACACAUACUUAGUAUAUUAAAAACUCAUUCUAACUUUCCUUUUCCAUGAAAUUCAUGAGAAACUUUAUAUAUUAUUAUAACAUUAUUAAAAUUUUAGAAGGUUACAAUCCAACCCCUCUUGUUGGGACAUUCCUUUUUCAAACAACUGAAAGGUACAUUAGGGGAUUAUGAUAUUUUGGACUUUUUGUGUGUGCUUACACAUAGAAGAAUUUGAUUGUGUUUGUGAAUUCUAGAGACAAAUUUUUUGUGAAGAAAAAGAAUAUGUUAGUCUCCAAGGGAAUUUUGGUUGGGUUGCAUAAAGGUCGUUGAGAAUGAAACAUUGGAGUUUCUAGCUCCUUCAUUAGUUCAAACGGCUCGGGCAAGGGAAUUUUCGUAGGAUCGCGUGGAGAUUGCUGCAAAUAAAAUCUUGAAGUGCUUUGGUUCUCAAAAGGUGGUUGGCUCAAGAUCGAGGAAACAUCAUGAAGGAUUUGUAGUUUAGUGUGUUACUUACAAUAGAAGGAACAUUAAGAUUCACAUAUGUAAUUGAAUUUUCUUUCUUCAAUGAACAAUUUAUUUCAUUUUUAAAUUAAUUAAUUAAAUUUUUUUCUCAUAUUUCAUUAAUUUUCUUACUCAAAUUUUAUUAUUUUUAUCUAUUUUAUUUUAUUUACCAUUUAUCAAAGCUAAUGUACCUCAAAAUUGAUUUCUUGAACGCAAACAAGUUGUGUGUGACAAUCUUUCAAAAAGCUUCAUCUUUAACCUUUAGUCAAACACUAAUUAUUGUGGUUGUUCAAGUCCAAUUGAAUUAUCCCAAGUUCAAUAAGGUCAAACAAAAUUUGACAAAAAAUUUAAGUAUUUUUAGAAGUCAGAAACUAUUUUUAAUCAAUUAAAAAUACAUAAAAAUAAUCUAAUUGAAUUAAAAUCUCAAAUAAAUUAAUAAAUUGAUGAGAAUAUUUUUCAUAGAUCUAUCAUCAUUCAAAUAGGUUGGAAAAAUAUUUUUUAUUUUUUGGAUAUCAAAAACUAUUUAAAAUGAAUUAAAAAUAAGCAGACAAGAGAAAAUUCCUAAAAAAUAUCAAAUGAUAAAAUAAAAAAUAUUAAAAAUCAUUUUUAGAAACUAGAAAUUAAAAGGAGAAAAAUGCAAUUGGUCUCAUAUUUUUUGGACCAAUAAUGGAGUUAUGAAUUUUUAAAAAGAAAUGGAAUUAAAAGAAAUAAAAGAAAUUAAAAUCAGAAAUUAAAAUAAUUGGAAAAAAACUUGGAGCGUUUGAUCUGAGCUCAUUAAUUGAUCUGGCAAAUCAUGAGGCUCACACACGCGCGCCUACCAUAUUCCUUGGUCAAUGCAUCACAUGUAGCAUUAUUAUAAGUCAUAACAUGGAACAGGCGAGAUUAAAUCUGGAAAAUGAAAUGGAAGGCUCAGAUCUAAUCUGGAGAAGGGACGGUGACCUGCGCCACCGUCUUCUCCGGCCAACUCCGGCGAGGCUCAAAAUUUGCAGAGGAAAAAAUGUUAACUAAAUGCUACGAUCCAGAUACCAAUCGAAAGCCGGGGUGAUGUACAUCACCCCUGUACCAACCAAAUCCACUCUAGGUUUCUACAUUAAGAGAAAUCAGAGAUGGAAAAUCUGUGGUGUUCAAAUGAACUUAAUGGGUUUUGAAAAUUCGAAGCUCAAGAAUGUUGCCUCUAUGCAGAGGACUUCAGAUCACACAACAACAACAACAAGAAAUAACCAGUAUAUGAGUAGAUUCGAAGAAAUUAAAAUGUGAGGUAAACCUCUGAUUUGCAGAGCUUGAAGUCACAAUUCCUUGCUAUGGGUGCUUGCAGUUUGUUCUUUAGAUCAAAGAGAAGAAGGCUAAGGAACUUUAGAUCUGAGAAAACAAUUGAGGUAAUUGAAUUCUAGAUCUGAAAAUUGAGAGAAAAAUUAGUGAGUUCCUUUGGUGUGAGGGUGAGGGUUUAAUUGCACAGCAUUUAGGGUGCCUUCAGGUUGGUAAAAUGGAGAGCAUUGGCAUUGUAUUUAUAGGAGAAGCAAGGCUGAAGUGCAUGAACAUUCCCUUGCAUGAAUGGAAAGGGCCUCCAUGCAUGGGCCUGUACAGGCGCAUGGAGGGCCCAAUUCCACUUGGAUUUGGUAGCUGAGCAAUGAUAGAAGAAAACUGGACGUGCAAAUUGUGCAUAAACACCUCAUGCAAUGCAAAUUCUAUGGAUUUCCAAAAUUAUACCAUAAUGUUCAUGUCUUCGAAAAUGGCUCUUCCAAACUUGAAACACCACCUCAUGAGUAAUGGUUGGAAAGCUUUUUGAAUAAGGAUAAUUUGUUAUGUUGAUGAAAAAUUCAUUUGAGCCUUGGAAAUUGAUGAAAAGUGGUCAUGAAGUGUAGGGUCCAAAACAUGUACAUGUGAGAUCUUCAAAAUUGGCCAAAGUUCAAGCCCUUCUGUCUCAAUGAUGAAAGCUCCAAAUGACAAAAUGAUCAACAUAAAAGUUGUAUAUCUUUUCAAUAAAAUCAAUUUGGACUUAAAUUUUGCAUCAUUUGGAUUUUAGAUGAAGAAGUUAUGGGUACUUGAAGUUUGACUUUUUCACAUUUCAAUGCAUUUGGUCCAAAGUGACCUAUAAUGUUUUGCAUUAUCACAUGUAUUUCUUUUAGGAUUUUGAAAUUUUUCUCAACAUAACAUUUUAAUUAUACAUCUUAAUCUUUCCAAUUCAUUUGAUCCCACCUAAAAAUCAUGAAAAAUGAAUGAGUUAUGUUCUUGGGAAGUUGACCAAAAAUUAGGGUUUCAGUCAAAAUGACCUAUAAUGUUUUGGAAUGGAUGAUGACCCUCAAAGAUUCAAAUCAAUUUUUUAUGAACAUGAAAGUUGUUAAUAUGGUUCUUAGGAACAUAUUUUCUAUUGGGGUCAUCUCCAUUUGACAAACACAUAAAAUGUUAGGUCUCAGUGUAUUUCAAAAUAGUUAGAUGAAUUGACUGAUCAACUUCUCAAGUCCAAACCUCAUAUCUUGGUGAAUUGAUGAUUGAGGAUACUCAAAUAAGUUCAAAUAUGCAUGAAAGGAUGAAUGAAAUAACUUCUCUUCAUUGCAUUUGAUCAUGGGUUGGGGUUGCUUCAUGAGUAAGGCACAGUUGAUGAACAGAUGAAUUAGGGUUUCCUUGGGAAACAAACCUCAAACCCUUUGAUUAGAUUUUGAUCAAAAUGAUGAAUUGAGACACUUGGGAGGCAUAUUUGAUGUAUGAGAGCUUUGGGAACCAUUGCCAUGCUUUCUUUCAUCUCUCCUUGGCCAUAUAAAUGCACAUAGGAUCUCCUAGAAGCUUUGGACCUUGUGACUGCUCAAGCUACACACCAAAGAUGUUAGUGACGUAUUUUUGUGCUUUUGGUUAGUGAAUAAAAAUAAGAAAAGCAAUAAUAUACAAUUCAAGCAUGCUUGGUAAUCUCCAACUAACUCACAAGGGAUCCUACCCAAAGGUAAAGAGCCAAUAUGCUUAUGAUCCUUGAGGCAAGAUGCAAAUGCAAUGUUAUGAUGCCAUGAGGGAUCUUAGGGUCAAAAUUGGGGUCUUAUAGAUGCCCCUAUUUAAGGUCAUUCUAGUCGGAGAGGUGAAGGUUAAAAUCUUCGUCUCGACGAGGUAGAAUGGGCUUAAAUAAUAACAAAGAUACGAAUUUUGGUCCCUAAGAGACCUCAUGAUGCAAAUGCGUGUAUGCAAAAAGUAAUAAUCUAUGGAGAUAUGUGUCCACAAAGAGAAAAGAAAUCUGGAGAAACUGACCAUCCAUAUGAGUAAUACACUCAAUGGGACAGAGACUCUGGGGAUUCUUAUGGGGAUACGAAAGGGCAUAAAAUGCGUGAGCAGGUAACGACUAAAGAUUUGCUGAGACACGAGAGGAAUUCCAUGAAAAUAAAUCAAUGGAAAGACUCGAGCUGACUCAGAAAUGCAUGUAUUGGGGAAUAUGCUAAUACAGCAAAAACUAUCCACAAAGGAUACUUCGGAUAAAAAUCCGGACUCAGAUGGGGAACAUCCACUAAGGGACUUCACUGGGAAAUGUCCAAACAUGACUCAUAUGAGGAAAUAACAGGAUGAGGUAUUACUGGCUACUGGGUAAUAAGCUCAAGGAGACAUGUGAUCAAAACACCGGUAUAAGGGUGAGAGAACAAUAUGCUCGGGGAGAAUGAAUAUCUAAGACCGGUAUGAGGGUGAUAGAUAUCAAACGUCCAAAAUCAUCUGAGGAAAGACCUAAAAAGGUAUAUUUUGACUCAGGAAAUCUGACUCCACAAGGGACAAAAGUCAUAAUAGGGAGCAGAAGGGAAGGAACACCGGUGAUACCGGUUACUGGGCAUAUAAUAGGUGACCGACCAAGGCGUGAAUUGGGGAAUAUUUCCAAGACACUCAUCAUCCAAAAGGAGGGCUAAAAAGCAAACUCAAUUUACAGGAUGGACAUUCGACUCCGCAGAAAGGGGAUACGAAUCUUACUCGACUGGGGAAGAACAAAAGACUCCAACUGAAGAGCGCAUGAGUUAUAUUAUCUAUUACCGUCAGAACGUAGAUAACAUACUCCCAUGGAAGAUUAUCCACAACCAAUUACUGGGUUAAUAAAGGAUAAAUCAACCGAAAGGAAAGGACAUCAGGAUACUAAAUACUAGGUAUAAAAUGAUGACCCAUCAAAGGGAGAAACGAUCAUUACCAGCCAAAGGGUGGAUGAAAGAUGCCUCGCUGGGGAUACAUUGACAAAGGCAAUGAUCCGGGAGAUAUAUCGCCGUUUACUGGGAGAUAUACUAGAAAGUGAAGGAAUAUCAAUACCGAAUAUUGGAUAAAGAUAACCGACGAAGAGGGGAUUACAUCUACCGAAUACUGGAUAGAAAACCACAGAAGAGUAACCUCCAUCGGUUAGGAUGAACAAAAAUAAGGUUAACUCUGCAAGGGGAUAAAAUGGGGUUUACAACUACCGGUAUGAGGGUAGAAGACCACGGAAAUAGGACUUACAACUACCGGUUACUGGGUAGAAGGCCACAGACUCCACAAAAAUAAGGUUAAUUUAUGUCCCUCGUAGUUUAACGUGGUGUGCUUGUUUAAUUUUUUUUGACUACUUUUUGUUUGUAUUUUAAUCGGUCUGAUCCUUUUUACUAGUCACUUUUUUUUUUCAAAAUUUGAUCAAAACCUGUAUCUUUUUGAGAAGUUUAUUCCGCGUCGAUUAUUUUAGUGCAUUCAAUUUAAUUUUUCAGGUAAUUUUGCGUUCGACUUUUAUUCUUUUUUUAUCCGUCCAUUUUUGUUUCUUUGUAAAAAAUAUUUAUAACAACUAAUUAGAAUUUUCUACAUUUUUAGUUUCGAUUUAAUUUUGUUUAUUUAACAUGGUUUGAUUUUGGUUAAAUUAAGUUAUUAAUUUUUUGCAAAUAACAAACUCAUUAUAAAAGCAUUGUUUUGGUUUUGUCUAAAAAAUAUAUAAUCUAAAGGAUGUGGCUAUGUGUUUUUUUAUAGGCUGAUAUCACCAAAGAGGUGAUGGCACGCGACCCCUCCCUUAGAUAUGAGGAUGCUUCAUUUUUGAGAUUUUAGAAGAAAAAACAGGAAUUUGCUUCCAAAUCUCUCUCUCUCUCUCUCUAAUCUGAAAGAGGAGUAUAAUUUGAAACUCACACACAAUCUCAUCAUAAACUCUUUAUAAAAUAUCUCAUUUUUUUAGAAAGAAAAGUCUCUCUCUCUCUCUCAUCAUAGUGUUUCUUUAUCUCCCUUUCUCUAUUUGCAGCAAAAAUAAAACAAAUCAUUAAAACAUGUCUUGAAAAAUACACUUCUCUCUCAUAAACAUCAAAACACUCACUAAAAACCUUCAUGUAAACCUCUAUUUAUCACCUUCAUAACUUCUUGCAACUUAUACUCCCCCUCACUAAACCAAAAUAACUUCAUACUCCUGCCACGAGGUCCAUCGUGCAAAACACUUUCCGACACCCCUUAACACACAAAAAACUUUUCCCUUCUUCCUCUUCCUUCCCGCAUUUAUCGCCAUCCAUAUUCAUUCACCUUUAACACCAUGAACCUUCAUGCAACAGCCACCCUUCAUUUUCCAUCUAUCGAACACCCUUCGCCUCCCUCCUCUCCGAGUAACGUAUCGAUCUUCAUCCCCCUGCACAAACAACAACCAAACCCCCAUCACUGCAAUACGCUAUAAAAAAACCGUUAAUCCACCAUUGACAAAACCACCACGAACCACCAUUAACCCUGUCGCCAAAGGUUGUUACGUUUUUCCAUUUAUUUUUAAUCAUGUGUGUUUGUUUUCUUUGUGUGUGAUAUUCUUUUGUUUUAAAAAUGGAAUGGAGAAGAUCUAUUUGUUUUGAUUAUGGUGUUUUAAAAGCUAGUUUUUGUUUUUGUCCAAAAGAUACAAAAAUUUGGUUAUAAAGAAAAAAGAGAAGAGAGUAGCGGGAGAAAACUGUGCGAGAGAGAGGGGGAGUUUUCUUUCUUAAUAAUAUUUUGUGUAAGUGUUGUUAAUUUUUCCUGUGAUCUGCGUUUGGACAAGGAAGAAGAUUUUUUUUUUCAAAAAGAAUUAUGUCUUGUUGCUGUUAUACUCUGAACAAAGAAGAAGAGGGAAUGACUUUGUUUUGACUUUUUCCUCCCCCCAAUAUUCCAUGUGUCAAUGUCUAAGUGGGGGGAGAUUUGUUUGGAAGAAAAAACUUUCUCUUUUAAUCAGAACCAAAAUACCCUUUUUUUCUUUCUUUCUUUCUUGUGAUUUUCAUUUUUUAUGUUUUAUUAUUAUUAUUAUUAUUAUAAUAAUUAUUAUUAUUAUUAUUAUUAUUAUUAUUAUUAUUAUUAUUAUUAUAUAACUAUUAUUUUUUAGUUAUUACUCUUAUUUUGAUUGUUUUUUUACUAUCCUUGAUUUAUCGUUCAUUAUUAUUCAACUAGUUAUUAUUGUUAAUCUUUAUUGAUAAUUAUUACUAUUGUUGUUAUUAUUUUUAAUUUUUUUUGUAAUUUAAUUAUUAUUAUUAUUGACUAUUAUUACUAAACAAUUAUUACUAAAAAACAUAAAUUAUUGUUUAUUUUUACUAUUAUUAUUAUUAUUAUUAUUAUUAUUAUUAUUAUUAUUAUUAUUAUUAUUUGUUCUUGAUUAUUAUUAUUAUUAAUCAUUAUUGUUCUUGAGUAAUAUUAUUAAUUAUUAUUGUGUUUAUUACUAAUUAUUGUUGUUUUUAUUGAUUAUUUUUGUUCAUUUAGAAUUAUUAUUGUUAUUAAUGAUAAAUAUUUUUAUUAUUAUUAUUUAUUUUAUCAUUAUUGCUAUUAUUACAAUUAUUAUUAUUGUCAUUUUAUUAUUUAUUUAAUUAAUUAUCUUAUUUUAAAAAAUUAACACAAAUAAAAAAAAUCAAUUUAAUCUACCGUCGGUUUUGCACAGAUGCAUAUCAAUUUUGAAGGUAAAAAUUCAAUUUAACUUCAGAAAUUGCUUACACGCAGAGUUUUAUUGACCGACCUCAGAUAGGAUGAUUCCUACAUGAAUCGCUUUACGAUUGCUUAACAUAGCGCUAAAUUCGUUUAGUUUUUUUUCUUCUUUUGUCGCUAAAUUUCUUUUAAUUUAAUUUUUUAUUUUUACUUCGAGUCCCUUGGCUUUCUCUAGGGCCUUCUUACAACGAGAUUCUUUUAUUUUUGCAAAUGUCUUUCAAAACUUGUAUUGUUUAAAUUAUUGUGUUGUAUCCCGAUUCGAUAAACUGUACGCCCAUUCCCGAAAAUAUGUAAUAAAUUGUUAACAAAUGAUUAAAAUCAAUCAUUUUAGAAGAAAAAAAAACAAAAACAACAAACACGGGAUCCAACGUCGAGUUUUUUCCCCAAAUCAAAUUUAAAUCGAAUACAAAGUCGAGUAUAUCCCCCGCCACAUCCAAAUUAUUUUCAUAAGUCAACUUCAAACACUUGAUCCAUCAUCAAGUCGUCCCCCUGUUUUUAGAAGCUUUUAUAAUAAAAAUGGAAGAACUUAUUAGGUUUAGACUUUCUCUGUUUUGAAUGUUAUGAUAUUGUUGUAGAGUUCCAUGUUCAAACAUUCAAAUUUCAUAUUAAAAUACAAUAAUUACUAGAAUUAGGUCAUUUCUCUUAUAGACGGAAAAUAUUCCUUGGGUAUCGACCUUCUCUUUCCCGAUUAUUUAGACACUGCAGUAGAGCUCCCUGUCUGAAUAAUUGUCUUCCAUUAAUGAACUUUGACCUAAUUUUGACACAUUUUUAUAACAAACUUUUGGAUGAAAAUAGAGUGAUUAGGCUUUAGCCUCUUCCUUUUCGGGCAUCUGAGUACUGCAGUAGAGCUUCCUGCAUGGAUGGAUAUAUCCACUUAAAAUCAACUCAAACCAAUCAAACUUGAUUUCUGCCCUUGUGCGACCCCGAAAACAUUUUAAGAAAAGAGUAUGCAAUAUCCAUUUUGAUGCGAAAUAAACAAAGACUUCAACCUCCAAGAGCGAGUAGCAAGUAAAGGUUUAAUCGCUCAAAUGUGAUCCAAGUAUCACACUCUUUAAAAGUAAUCCAUCAAGUAGUUCUCUUUGAGAAGGACUAUGUAUGCAUUGAGUUCUUCAUACCACCUAAAGAUACGUAGGAGCAGGAUUGAAAAAUCUUGCCAAACACAUUAAUGUUAAAAAACCCUAAGUCUUUUCUUUCUUUCUUUCUCUUUUCUCACUCGAUAAGUAGAAUAUCACAAACGAUAUCACGCUAACACUCUUGCACAAAACUAACUAAAUGGGUACCAUUAACUACGAUGAAUGUGAUGGGUGUUAAUACCUUCCCCUUGCAUAACUGACUCCCGAACCCGAUUCCGUUGCGACGACCAUUUCUUUUUGUUUUUCAUGAGUUUUAUCGAUAUUUCCCCUUUCCCUCUUUGGGAAUAAAUAAAGUUAGAUGGCGACUCUGUUUUGUUUAUAUUUCGAGUGUUCAUUACGCUCGAGUAUUUUAUGCAUCGUGACAGCUGGGGAAAUUUUUCUUCUAAGCGAGUUCACCCUAGGUUAGUUUGUUUUUUGUUGGAGUGUUUACUUUUAUUUGCUUGUGUGCUUCUUAUUUGGUUUACCUAUAUCUGCCUUUAAUCAUCUGUAUUUCCAAUUGUUGCAUCAUUGAUCAUAUGGUGACAUUAGAACUUUCUGGAUUAUUAUCAUUUGUGUGAGGAAAAUCUCUAUACCUGAGCUAUGAGAAAAAAUUAAGUUAGGAUGGUGGUUGGGUAGUAUUGACCUGUGAGACAUCAAACUCGUUAGGAUGAUGCGAGAAUCUCACUCAGAUGAGAUCCCUCGAAAGUAUUAUUGUCUUACGAUUAGUCGUUCUGACGUUGAUAUUUUCGACCUCGACCUAUGAUUCUUAGGACCUUUGUAGAAACCCAAACCUAUGGCUUUUAGAACUGAUAGUUGUGUAGUGUUGACCUACGAGACUUAGGACUCGUCGGGUUAAUACAAAAGCCUCACUCAGAAUAUAUCAUUUUGAGGAUAUUAUUGUCUUACGAUUAGUCGUUCUGGCGAUAAUAUCUUUAAAUGGGAUCCAUGACUCUAGGAAUUAUGUUUAGAACCGUGGAGACGAUGGUUAUGUAGUGUUGACCUGUAAGACUUAGGACUCGUUAGAUAAAUACGAAUACCUCAGGUAGAAUAUAUCAUCUUUAAGAUAUUAUCGUCUUACGAUCUGUCGUUCUGAUGAUAAUAUUCUCGAAUAGGGUAUAUGACUCUAGGAACCUUUUUAAAUCCUAGAGUCUACAUGUGGUUGGAUUUCCUAUUCCUGGAACAUUUUCUCCAUGAAACAAUUAAUCAUAAUGUUCCAAUGAUCACAUACCCAACUGUACAUACAUAAACAUAAAAAUUUCAUGAUUAUAACACAUUUAGCAUGUGCCCAUUUUAAAGGAAUCUAAAGACUCUAUUGAUUGCAGGCAUUCAGAAGACUUAGGUAGCAAUCCAAAAAGUACUUAUUCAUUCAAGUUCAGGAAUCCAAAGCUAGGAUUUAUCAAGGGGUUGAUCUCAUACGUGAAAAAAAAUUAGAAGGAACAACUUUUGUGUUAAGUAUGAUGACUUGUUGAUUAUCAUGAACACCGAGGUGGAUGCUUGGGCCAUUUUUACUUUGACACAAUUCUAUGACCCUCCCUUGAGGUGUUGCACCUUCUAGUUGGCGCCAACACUGGAAGAGUUCUCACAUCCAACUAAUUAAGCGUCUAGGAAUGAAGCAGAUUUAUUGAUUUCGAAACAAAACAAAAAAUAACAAUGUCUUACUCUUGUACCAUCAAUUCAAGUAUGGGAAUUUUUGUAGGUUUUCCUUGUACGUAAACGUGUUUUUCGUGUCCAAGAGCAUGGAGCACGCCAACUAUGUCUGAAAAGAAACAUGAAUGUAGUUAUAUAUUAUAUUUUAUAUUAUUGUAGAGUAACUUGUGUUUAAAACUACGAGAGAGAAUAUUAUUGUCUCCAACUCUUUAUGAAAUUGUUUCUAUACUAACAAAUUCAAAAUAAUUGUGUGAAAUUAUGGAUCUGGAGUCUUAAAUUUGUUACAUCAGUCACUCGCAAAAACCAUGUCAUUUUUAAGCCUUUGAAUGAUUUGUAUGUUUGCAAAAGAGUUCUCUGAAGGAAAAAAAUAGCAAUAAAAUAUUGAAAUUAAUAAUUUUAUAAAGAAAAAAAUAAUAAUGUUAAAUAUUUAGAAUAUAAAAGUAUAUUUUGUUAACAACAAAUGCAAUAUUUGGGAUAAAGAGUUAAUACCUUCUCAUCUAACAAAAUGGUUUCUACGAAUAUUUGUUGUUCAUCGUUUAGCAGAUUAUAAACGUCUCACAAUCGAAAGACUCUAACUCGAAGUAACCAAUCAUCAUGAUUGGUGUUAAGAUCUAAGAUUGAAUUUUCCAUUGUUGAUUAUCUGGCAAUAUGGAUAUAUAAUGAAUCUAAUAGUUGUUAUGAUGGGGUAUUUAAAAGUUAACAAAUUGUUGUUUAUAUAUGUUUAUAGUUUUUAAACGCCUAAAUGAAUGUAAUUCUGAUAAUAAUAAAUGAAUAUUUUUAUUGUCAUUAUUUCAUGUCUUUUUAUGUUUAUAGUUCUUAAUCGGUUAAAUGAAUGUAAUUGUGAUAAUAAUAAAUGAAUAUUUUUAUUGUCAUUAUUUCAUGUCUUAUAUUUUUAAAAAUAUGGUAUAAAUCUUUAUAAUAAUAAUAAUAAUAAUAAUAAUAAUAAUAAUAAUAAUAAUAAUAAUAAUAAUAAUAAUAAUAAUAAUAAUAUACGUCUUUAUUAAGGUAUUUAUAAAGAGAGAAUAUUUUAUUUUUGUAACAUUUUAUUAUGUGUGGUUCAAUUUUCAGUAAUAAUUCAAAAUUUAAAUAUUUAUUAUUUUUAUUAUUGAAUUUAACUGUGAACAACUUUAAAUAUAGUUUAUUGUAAACAUUUUAUCAAGAUUCGGUUUUUAAAUAUAAUUCAGUAAUGAUUAAUAUAAUAAAAGAAUAAUAUUUCUAAAUUAUAAUGCAAUUAGAAUUCAAUUAAUGAUUAAUUAUAACAAAAUUAAAUUAAUCAAUUAUCUAGCAGAUAAGUAAACAAGCGUAUUAAUCAAUUUUGAUCAAGCUUAAACCAUUAUAAAAUUUUAUUAUAUUCACAUUCAACCAAUUAAGUGUCUAGGAAUGAAACAGAUUUAUUGAUUUGGAAAAAAACAAAAAAUAACAAUGAAACCAAGCUACAUACAUGUAUAUAAAAAACUAAAGUAUAGAACAUCAAAUCCAAAAAUAGAAACAGUGUAAAUAACCAUUCCCCAAGAAACUGAAGUGUCUAAAGCAACAAGUUUAUAACAAUAGCAAUGAGAGCAGGGAAAGUAGCAACGAUAGCAGUGGCCGAACCCGGUGAUGGAGGAGUUGCAUCAGGCUGAGUUGGAGAAGAAGGGGAUGGUGUUCCUCCGCUGGUAGGUGGAGUAGGAGAACAAUAGCAAUGAGAGCAGGGAAAGUAGCAACGAUAGCAGUGGCCGAACCCGGUGAUGGAGGAGUUGCAUCAGGCUGAGUUGGAGAAGAAGGGGAUGGUGUUCCUCCGCUGGUAGGUGGAGUAGGAGUGGUUCCAGAUGAAGGAGGAGUAGGUGAAGGAGGAGUAGAUGAAGGAGGAGUAGAUGAAGAAGAUGUUGGAACUUUAAUGGUUAGCUUUUGACCGCCAGAUUGACAAUGGGAUGAGACGGUACAUAUGAAAUAGAAAUCACCAGUUCUGUUAAGAGUCACUCUUGCUGGUGAUGUUGUUAUUAUGUCAUUUGUAUUUUGAUUCACAUUGCAGUUGUCAAAGUCUGCCUUGUUGGUUG
rnacentral:lncRNA from 1 species